AUGGGCGCAAGCCUGAUGCAGCCAUGCCGCGUGUGUGAAGAAGGCCUUCGGGUUGUAAAGCACUUUCAGUCAGGAGGAAAGGUUAGUAGUUAAUACCUGCUAGCUGUGACGUUACUGACAGAAGAAGCACCGGCUAACUCCGUGCCAGCAGCCGCGGUAAUACGGAGGGUGCGAGCGUUAAUCGGAAUUACUGGGCGUAAAGCGUACGCAGGCGGUUUGUUAAGCGAGAUGUGAAAGCCCCGGGCUUAACCUGGGAACUGCAUUUCGAACUGGCAAACUAGAGUGUGAUAGAGGGUGGUAGAAUUUCAGGUGUAGCGGUGAAAUGCGUAGAGAUCUGAAGGAAUACCGAUGGCGAAGGCAGCCACCUGGGUCAACACUGACGCUCAUGUACGAAAGCGUGGGGAGCAAACAGGAUUAGAUACCCUGGUAGUCCACGCCGUAAACGAUGUCUACUAGGAGCUGGGGUCUUCGGACAACUUUUCCAAAGCUAACGCAUCAAGUAGACCGCCUGGG
rnacentral:rRNA from 1 species